rnacentral:ncRNA from 1 species
CAAAAGUUUUAUUUUGGCUUAAGAAUUAGGUUUAAAUUUAUUUUACAUGCAAAUUUAAGUAGGAAAAGGAAAAAAUUUAAAUAGUUUUUUAGUUUCGUUCGCAGUGGAUAGAAUUAAUUAUUAAAGAAAUUUAGAAUUAGGAAUUUUUAAUUAAUAUUAACAAAAUUUGUGCCAGCAGUUGCGGUUACACAGAUAAUAUUACUUAAUUUUUUUGGAUUCAGUAAUCUUAUAGAAAAACUUUGUUUCAUAGAUUUUAAGGUGAAAUUUAAAUUUAAAGGAAAAGUUACAUAAAAUUAGAUAUUCUGGGAAAUUUUUAAUUAAACUAGGAUUAGAUACCCUAUUAUUUAAAAUGUAAAUGUUUUGAUUCCAUGGGAGUAGUAGUUAUGAUCUUGAAAUUAAAAAAAUUUGGCGGUAUUUUAGUCUAUUCAGAGGAACCUGUCCUGUAAUCGAUGGUCCACGAUAAUAAUGACUUUUUCUUUAAGUUUGCAUAUCGUCGUGGUUUGAAUAUUUUUAGAGGAGAUAAAUGUUCAGAAUUCUUUUUAAGGGGAAAGUCAGAUCAAGGUGUAGUUUAUGAAAAAGGAGAGAUGGGUUACAUUAAAUUUAUUUGGGGAUAAUUCAGUUUAAAUGGGAUUAGAAUUUGGAUUUGAAAGUAAUUUAAAUUAUUUUAUUUAAAUGAUUUUAGCUCUAAAAUAUGCACAUAUCGCCCGUCGCUUUCACUUUAAAGUGAAAUAAGUCGUAACAAAGUAGGCUUACUGGAAGGUGAGCCUAGAAAGAC